rnacentral:rRNA from 1 species
GACGAACGCUGGCGGCGUGCUUAACACAUGCAAGUCGAACGGAAAGGCCCUGCUUUUGUGGGGUGCUCGAGUGGCGAACGGGUGAGUAACACGUGAGUAACCUGCCCUUGACUUUGGGAUAACUUCAGGAAACUGGGGCUAAUACCGGAUAGGAGCUCCUGCUGCAUGGUGGGGGUUGGAAAGUUUCGGCGGUUGGGGAUGGACUCGCGGCUUAUCAGCUUGUUGGUGGGGUAGUGGCUUACCAAGGCUUUGACGGGUAGCCGGCCUGGGAGGGUGACCGGCUCCAUAGGACUGAGGGAGGGCCCAGAGUCCAACGGGGGGCAACAGGGGGGAAUUUUGUACAAUGGGCCGGAGCCUGAUGCGACAACCCCCGGGUCGGGAAGACCGCCUUUUGGGUGUAAACCGCUUUCGCCUGUUACCAAGCGGUGGUGACGGUAAUUGGUAAAGAAGCACCGGCUAACUACGUG